UUUAUAAGAGACAGUAGAAAAUGGCGAAGUCAAACCGUAUUGUCGAAAUAAGUAAAGAAGAGCUGCAGAAUCUAAUAAAUUCUUUGGAAGCAGCUAACAAGGUGGUCCCACAGUUGAAAUAACUG